AUUCGUCCUCUUGAGGAUGCAGCCUUUGAAAUUAAAUGAAAUGAGAAACAGCUGUUAACUUCCGCGACGUAGUACACGUUAUACGUCAACUCAUCGGAAGUUAACGCUUUUUGGACGUAUGCCGAAUGCGUAUGGCUAUCACUCCGGAAGCACGUUAUUUUACUUUAUCAAGUUUUAAAUAAGGAUACUUGUCUUACACAAACGCAUCGAUUCGAUUCAGAAGGCCUUUAUUAACCCCCUGGAGUCAUAUGGAUUAAUUUUUUCAUGGAUGGAUAAUUUUUUUUUGUCUUCAGAAUUUGGGGAACCAUUCACAACUAUUAUAAAGCUUGGAGGACUAAGGAUAAUUGUAAAUGUAUCUCUAAUUGUGUUCAUCUGAAAGAAGAUAGUCAUAUACACCUAGGAUGGCUUGAGGCUUUGCUGCUUCUUUCUUUGGCUUCUUUUGGAACUCUUUCUCCAUUGGCGGAGAAAAAAAUAACCAAAAUAGCUUCCCAUAAUGUAUCCAAAAUAGAGCAGUUUGAAGAGCUUUCAUUUAGUAAGAACAGCAGUCUACAAGUAAUAACUCUUGGUUUGAAAGCACAUUUCUCCUCUAUGGUCCUCAAGUUAUUCUCUUGUAAGAUAACAAUCGCAUUACCAGCACUUAACCUACGUCAAACACUGCGUUUAC